rnacentral:rRNA from 1 species
GAUGAACGCUGGCGGCGUGCCUAAUACAUGCAAGUCGAGCGAACGGACGAGAAGCUUGCUUUUCUGAUGUUAGCGGCGGACGGGUGAGUAACACGUGGAUAACCUACCUAUAAGACUGGGAUAACUUCGGGAAACCGGAGCUAAUACCGGAUAAUAUUUUGAACCGCAUGGUUCAAAAGUGAAAGACGGUCUUGCUGUCACUUAUAGAUGGAUCCGCGCUGCAUUAGCUAGUUGGUAAGGUAACGGCUUACCAAGGCAACGAUGCAUAGCCGACCUGAGAGGGUGAUCGGCCACACUGGAACUGAGACACGGUCCAGACGCCUACGGGAGGCAGCAGUAGGGAAUCUUCCGCAAUGGGCGAAAGCCUGACGGAGCAACGCCGCGUGAGUGAUGAAGGUCUUCGGAUCGUAAAACUCUGUUAUUAGGGAAGAACAUAUGUGUAAGUAACUGUGCACAGCUUGACGGUACCUAAUCAGAAAGCCACGGCUAACUACGUG